rnacentral:rRNA from 1 species
GCAUACGUCCUACGGGAGAAAGCAGGGGACCUUCGGGCCUUGCGCUAUCAGAUGAGCCUAGGUCGGAUUAGCUAGUUGGUGAGGUAAUGGCUCACCAAGGCGACGAUCCGUAACUGGUCUGAGAGGAUGAUCAGUCACACUGGAACUGAGACACGGUCCAGACUCCUACGGGAGGCAGCAGUGGGGAAUAUUGGACAAUGGGCGAAAGCCUGAUCCAGCCAAGCCGCGUGUGUGAAGAAGGUCUUCGGAUUGUAA